rnacentral:rRNA from 1 species
GACGAACGCUGGCGGCGUGCUUAACACAUGCAAGUCGAACGGAAAGGCCCUGCUUUUGUGGGGUGCUCGAGUGGCGAACGGGUGAGUAACACGGGAGUAACCUGCCCUUGACUUUGGGAUAACUUCAGGAAACUGGGGCUAAAACCGGAUAGGAGCUCCUGCUGCAUGGUGGGGGUUGGAAAGUUUCGGCGGUUGGGGAUGGACUCGCGGCUUAUCAGCUUGUUGGUGGGGUAGUGGCUUACCAAGGCUUUGACGGGUAGCCGGCCUGAGAGGGUGACCGGCCACAUUGGGACUGAGAUACGGCCCAGACUCCUACGGGAGGCAGCAGUGGGGAAUAUUGCACAAUGGGCGGAAGCCUGAUGCAGCAACGCCGCGUGCGGGAUGACGGCCUUCGGGUUGUAAACCGCUUUCGCCUGUGACGAAGCGUGAGUGACGGUAAUGGGUAAAGAAGCACCGGCUAACUACGUG